rnacentral:rRNA from 1 species
UACGGGAGGCAGCAGUGGGGAAUAUUGGACAAUGGGCGAAAGCCUGAUCCAGCCAUGCCGCGUGUGUGAAGAAGGCCUUCGGGUUGUAAAGCACUUUUGUACGGGAAGAAAAGCCCUGGGUUAAUACCCUGGGGUCAUGACGGUACCGUAAGAAUAAGCACCGGCUAACUUCGUGCCAGCAGCCGCGGUAAUACGAAGGGUGCAAGCGUUACUCGGAAUUACUGGGCGUAAAGCGUGCGUAGGUGGUCUGUCAAGUCCGAUGUGAAAGCCCUGGGCUCAACCUGGGAACUGCAUUGGAAACUGGCAGUCUGGAGUGCGGUAGAGGGUAGCGGAAUUCCCGGUGUAGCAGUGAAAUGCGUAGAUAUCGGGAGGAACAUCCGUGGCGAAGGCGGCUACCUGGACCAGCACUGACACUGAGGCACGAAAGCGUGGGGAGCAAACAGGAUUAGAUACCCUGGUAGUCCACGCCCUAAACGAUGCGAACUGGAUGUUGGGGGCACUUUGGCCUUCAGUAUCGAAGCUAACGCGU